rnacentral:rRNA from 1 species
AUUGAACGCUGGCGGCAGGCCUAACACAUGCAAGUCGAACGAGUGGCGGACGGGUGAGUAAUGUCUGGGAAACUGCCUGAUGGAGGGGGAUCACUAAUGGAAACGGUAGCCAAUACCGCAUACCAUCGGAUGUGCCAAGAUGGGAUUAGCUAGUAGGUGGGGUAAAGGCUAACCUAGGCGACGAUCCCUAGCUGGUCUGAGAGGAUGACCAUCCACACUGGAGCUGAGACACGGUCCAGACUCCUACGGGAGGCAGCAGUGGGGAAUAUUGCACAAUGGGCGCAAGCCUGAUGCAGCCAUGCCGCGUGUAUGAAGAAGGCCUUCGGGUUGUAAAGUACUUUCAGCGGGGAGGCGUUACCCGCAGAAGAAGCACCGGCUAACUCCGUGCCAGCAGCCGCGGUAAUUC